rnacentral:misc_RNA from 1 species
UCUCCGUUGGUGAACCAGCGGAGGGAUCAUUACUGGAAUCGCAAGGUCCCACAACCCCUGUGAACCUACCGAAACGUUGCCUCGGCGGGCGCCCGGCCCUGCGCCGGGCGCUGAGCCCGCCGGCGGCCCCCUACUCUUUUCUUUGCAGCGUGGCAUCUCAGAUUCCCAGAAAACAAGUAAAAACUUUCAACAACGGAUCUCUUGGCUCUA